GGAAGGUAACCAAGGGCACAGACUCACAGACCGACUUGGGAGUUGCCGGGGGGCUCCAGGCGGAGAGACAGCUUGCCUUUCACCUCUCCUUAAAGGGGUGCUUGUGACUAGGCCGCGAUUAUGCUCCUUGCGAUUCCCUAUCUUCUGCUGAGCGGUAGCAUCUUCGCAGUCUUCUGUGCGGUGGUGUGGAUGAAGGGCUGGCAGUGGUUUAAGAAAAAGAUCCCUGAACUAGAACCAGAUGAGUUUGACACCUAUGACAGCGAUAUGGCUACUUCAGAGGACGUCUAAAAUGGAUUGUGAGUGCGGAGCUUCUCCAAAGAGACCCCGAAUGAUUGCCCGCACUCAGUUUUCUUAGAGAAGAAUUCAAAUGCUAAACCUUAGGGUGGAAGACUAGAAGCUUCCUGAGCUGGACCACUUUCUAGUUUCCCCAAGCUUGAGUGGGUAUUUCAAGUCCCAAUUGAUCAACAAAAAGAUCUAGAUAUUCAUGGAAGCCAAUAAUAAAAACAAAUGAACCAGCUCAACAUGUGAUGACUUAUUUGAUGUUAUAGAUAGAAUAGGAAACGGUUGGGUGGAUGGAUGAAGAGAGGCCUGGACCUGGAGUCAGGAAAGCCUGAGUUCAAAUCCAGUCUCCCACACUGAAUGGUUAUGUGACCCUGGGCAAGUCAUUUAACCUCUGCCUGCCUCGGUUUCCUCAUUUGUAAAAUAGGGAUAAUAGCACUUUCCUUUUAGGUCUGUGGAAAGGAUCAACUGACUUUGAUGUUUAUGAUUCUAUAUCUAAAUGCUAGCUAUUAUAAUUGUGAUUAUUAUUUCUGGUGAAAGACUCCUUUCGUCCUGGAGGUUAGUGACUCAAACCCCAGCAACCGUAAGUGUAGCCAUCUGUCGAUCCUUUUUUUAUUAUAAUGAAAAUGUUUUAAUCUUUUCAAAUCCAAAAUAAUUUAGUGCGUUCAAAAUUUCCCAACUGGAAAGUUACUUGAUCUCUAAAACCCUUAGGUUAUUGCUGUUAAAUUCUUUUUUUCCCCCCGAUCCUUUUUUAACCAAUUAAUUGACUCCACAUUGCUAAUGGACUGUCGCUGUAGUUAGAAAGGAAGCCAUUAAAGGAGAUGAUCCAUAAUUGUCUAUCAGGAUUGGGAUUUGACUCUAGUGGUACGCAGCUGUUCCCUUUCCCACACGUGAAUGAAUGAGAGAUUCCCUUAGCAGGAGUGGGAAGGCGUGCCUGAGGAACACGUGCUCGUUAUCCCAUAUGGGAUUGUCCCAUCUCAGUAGCAUUCAAGGCCUUUAUUGGGUACUUCCUGGAAGGCAGGCCCUGGACUAGGCACAGGGGAUACAAAGCCAGGGAGACAGUCCCUUUGAGGACUUCACGUUUUAAUGAAACCAGAUACGGGAAUGGUGGGCAGGGAAGGGAGGGUAAGAAGAGAUGAUGGUCACAGCACAACCUAGUCAAGAGUAAUAUGGGUCACAGAAGAAUUAUACUAGUCAGAUGAGGACUGAAUCCCAGGGAGUUUGUUUUAAUAUUAGAUGAGAACACAUAGAGCACUGACAGAUUCCUGAGGUACUUUUCUCAUAGCCCCCACAAAGAUAAGCAGUACAAAUAUUAGUCUCAUUUUAUACAUAAGGGGAAAGGGCUGGCUUGUGCCCAUUCCUGGCCACCAAGUCAGCUCAGAUUUGAACCCAAGUCUCCUGACUUGAAGCUGAUAUUCUUGUCCACCACAUCACAGUGGCUCUGCGAUAACAACUGGGCCAACUUUUAAAAAUCCACCAAAUGCUAAUUUUGCCUGUUAGCAAUUGCCCCGAGAGGCCUUUCUUAAAGACUUUACUUGAGGAAUUCAAGAAUUCAAGGCCUCACCCAGGGUAGAAAUAUUCCAAAUCCAGGCCUGGCACAAUAGACAGACCUCUUCCCUAAUGCCCUAGCCAAGUCUAGAGAAACUUCUCACUAGAACACCACGAGGUGAUGAGUUUUUUGGCCACAGCAAUUGGUAAAAUGUGGGAUUGUGAUUGGAGUCGAUGGAAGGAGUUGUGAAAUGAUAUGUCCAGUAUAGUAAGAGAAAGUUCAUUGGCAUAGUCCACCAUUUAUUACACCGCUUCCCACACCCACCAAAUUGUAAUCAGAGAAAAGAUGAAUGAGAAUAAGAGGAAUUUGAAAUCUCUUCUAUCUCGAGAAUUUUGCUCACAUUUUCUUCUAAUGGGACAGCAUUUAGAACAGUUGCCCAGCAAGAACUAACAAUUUCAGAGUAGUAAAGUGUGCUCACUGUCUAUAAUUGAGAACGUUCUUUCCCAAACUGUUUCUUGGGGUUCUUACUGUAUGAUGUCAAGUGUUGACCUCUGAAAAACUGACUUUAGCAACAUGCAUCCUCCUCAAGAAUUUAAAUGCAGAUUUGGGGAUCUAUGAAAAAUGUACGGAGUCUUUUUCCAGUAGAAAAUAUCUCAUUGUCCCAGCCUUUCCCUCCCCUCCCUCUUCUUUAUCCCAGGGCUAUUACAAGAUGCCAAACCCUUCCCUAGGCCAGUAUUUGUCAGUUUGAUGGUGCUUUUAUAGGGUAACAUAUCAAGAUGUCUUGUAGAAUAUUUCGAACUGCAAAAUGUUUUCUAACUAAAUUGGGAAAAGGUUGCCUUCGAAGUGACUUACGAUGCAACUCAAACAGGGCUUGUGUCAGCAGACCGCACCUCUUAAUACACAUUUAAUCCAAGGAGUUAUAAAUGCUAUAUAAGCCUGUUUGUCCUAAUUUGACAUCUUCAUUACUUUCUCCAGGCCCCGAUGAUCAGGUCAAGAGAUCAGGACUUCACGACGAUAUCAACUUUGAGUCCCAGGAUCCUGGAUUCCUGAAGACCCUUUUAAGAGGGCCCAUGCUUAAUAGUACCUUGGUUUGUGAAGUAUAGAGUGGAAACGGAUUUGAAUCAGGACAGAAUGAGUACAAGCGAACCUGUCAACAUAUGUGAUUGUUUUAGGACCACUAGCUGUUAGAUUUGCUCUACGAAAUGGGACCAUUUUCGGAGAGCAUUCCCCUCAAUAUGCUUAAAACAUAGUAAGGAAUCCAGUUCGGUUCCAGUUCCGUUCCCCCCACCGCCAUACCACACAUAACAAGUAAAAAUCAGUGUAUCUCUGUGAUUGUGUAUAUGCCACUCCUUAUGUGGAAAGGUGACAGAAUUAAAGGAGAUCAAAGAAAUCUGGUAUUGUGGAUCCUGUUGAUCCAUCAUCUACUACAUAAAGGAUCCUCCUUUCUGUCCCUCCCCCUCUCAUAAAAUAGCAAUCACGUUAUCAAUUUGACAAUGAACAUCUGAGAAAUAGCCAAUACUUGAAAGUAUUAUCUGACAUUUGCAUAUUUUCUAUAGCACCAAUUUACAUCAUCUCAUAUAAUGUUCUCCUUCAGUGUAUAUCAUUUUCAAGAGAUGCUUGUUUCUAUCAUGCCUUUAAUAUCUUAGCUCUUUAUUUUCUCGCUUUAUUCAAAAUCACAGACUUCAUUAAGAAAAUAUAAACAGAUGAUUCAAAAACAUUUCAAUAUCCUUUUGCUUAUUAGAGAACUGAAUCAAAAAUAAACUUCCAUUAUUAGUAAAAACAUUACAAGAAUAAUUUAUUACAAAAAAAAACACAUCAUUGUGCAACACAGACGGGUGUGCGCCUGAGAUGAGACAGAUACAGAACAAUGACCUGAUGGAAAUUCAGACAAAGAUGCUAAAUCCGUGCAGAUUCGCUCCAUUAUGUUAAACUCCUGCUUACAUGGCAAGAAAAUGUCAUAACUAAGUUAUACAUAUAGUAUAUACAUCUUUUUACUCGAUGAGCAUACAAAUAAAUAACAUGGCUUUUCACUUUCUCUACUCUCUCUGUUCUAAAAGAAUCACAUUAAAUCUAUGUUCCAAACUGAUCUCAUUCAGGUUUUGUGUUGCCACUGACGGUUGGGAUUUCGUGGUCGUGCUCCUUUUUGGGAUCAACCAUGCCACUGUAUCUCUCACCACGAUGCCGCUCCAGCCAGAAUAAUGUUCCAGUGCCUGGCGCCAAGGGACGAUGAGGAAAAGAAUGUUCUGGAGCCAACAGCUCUUCAUCUCACACACCAACCUCAAAUUCCCAGAGAUCUCUCUGGGCCAGGCCCAACCGUAGAGAACAGCUGCGGGGAACUUGCUCCAAAGAAUAGGCCAAAGAUUCACAGGAACAAUAAUCUUGCUAGAACUCCAUGAAGCUGAAAUUGCAAAGAUGCCCCAGUUGCUUCCUUGGGUUGAGAGUUUGCCUCGAAGGAGCCGGGUGUACACCAGUGCUUCCUGCUGUCGUCUGUUGUAAGUAGCACAGCAGAGAAGGGUGCUUGUUCCAAAGAAUAGAAACUGGGGCCUGCUUGCAUCUCUAUUUUCUGGAAUGUUCUUGAUGUUCCUGAGAUAUUCCUAUUGAAUUGGGUGGGCUUUGACAAUGAUUCCGCUAAGGAUUUCCUUUUUGUUGUCAUUUUCCUGUUUCCCGCCCUCCACCCAGCCUUCUUCCUCUCUCUCAUCUCCUCACCUCCUCUUCUUGCUCUACCCUGUUUGGCCAUCUUCCUUUCUUCUCUCUCUGUCCUAUAAGGAAGACCUCUCAGUGGUCAGCCUGGGCCCUGCCCAAUCACACUGGC